rnacentral:rRNA from 1 species
UAGGGAAUCUUCGGCAAUGGGGGCAACCCUGACCGAGCAACGCCGCGUGAGUGAAGAAGGUUUUCGGAUCGUAAAACUCUGUUGUUAGAGAAGAACGUGUGUGAGAGUGGAAAGUUCACACAGUGACGGUAACUUACCAGAAAGGGACGGCUAACUACGUGCCAG